UACGGAGGGUGCAAGCGUUAUCCGGAUUUACUGGGUUUAAAGGGUGUGUAGGCGGGUCUUUAAGUCAGUGGUGAAAUCUCCGAGCUUAACUUGGAAACUGCCAUUGAUACUAUUGAUCUUGAAUUCUGUUGAGGUAGGCGGAAUAAGUCAUGUAGCGGUGAAAUGCAUAGAUAUGACUUAGAACACCAAUUGCGAAGGCAGCUUACUAAACAGAUAUUGACGCUGAGGCACGAAAGCGUGGGGAUCAAACAGG
rnacentral:rRNA from 1 species